CUCCCGGCCGCCUCGCCGCUUCCGGGUCGCUGGCGGCCGGGCCGCGCUCCUCCCCGCUCGGGCGCUGCCCUCCGCACCUGCAGACCAGGAUGCAGCUUCUCCGCCGUCGCAGCUAGUACAGUCGCGCCCCCGAGACCCGGCCCCGGCCUCACCCCUCCGGGGGUCAGGGUCCAGCUCAGACCCCACUCAGACAUUCCUCCACAGGGAUCUCUGGGAAGGGCAGCGUGCCUGGUUCCCACGGGCUUGGAAAAACCCCGCCGGACCUGGUUUAGCGGAGAGCCUUGGGCGUAACAGUUAAAGCGGGGGAUCCGAGCACUGAUGGCCUGGGUGACCCCUAGUGAGUGCUUGUGGUGCAGCAGAGGCACAGAGCACCAGCCCGGGGGCCCUGAGGCCCGCGUGGGAUGUAAUUCCAGGUGGAGGCCAUGCACGCUAGGAGCUCCUGCUGUUACCUCCUGACUGGCCUGUGCUCUGCUGCUUCACCUAAUCCCGUGGAGCGCUCACACAAACACGAGGUGGAGAAUCAUGCCCAGACCAGCGCAGGCGCAGGGUGUGUACCCUGCCCACGACGGCACGGAGGCGAGUGGCAGGGCGGGGCCACCACGCAGCCUGAAUGUCCUAGGAGCUGGAUGCAGGGCCGGGGCUCCCGCCUGCCUGGGGCACAUCACACAGCAGGUGAUCCCGUGCGCCUGGCGCCAGUUUCCACUUCUGCGCUCGCACUCAUCAAUCAGGGUCCCAAGGACAAAUCCUGGGGGAGCCCAGUGUGGAAAUCAACUGAAGACCAGCGUCUGGAGGACACUUGGUUCAGUCCACAGAUCCCGGCCAGCCCAGCUGGCAGGCGGGGUGACGGGAAGUCGGGCUGCGCAGCAGUCAGUAAGCCCAGCUCCCCGGGUCACAGCCCCUGGCCCAGGGGUGGAUGGUGGAGCCCAUGCCCCUCUCGUGGCUGAACUAGAAAGACGUUCAUCUGGGGCUGUGUCAUGGUGAGAGCACACCUAUAGCAGGAGAAACUAGGCCAACAUUGCGGCCUCAGUAGAAUUCUCAUCCGUGCUUGUGGAGGUGAAUAUUAUGUGCCCACUUGACUGAGCCCUGGGGUGCUUAGAUAUCUGGCCAAACCGUUCUGGGUGGGACGCCCGGGUGGCUCAGCAGUUGCGUGCCUGACUUCGGCUCACCGCGUGACUCCGGGAUCCCAGAUCGAGUCCCAUGUCGGGCUCCCUGCGUGGAGCCUGUUUCUCCCUCUGCCUGUGUCUCUGCCUCUCUCUCUCAUGAAUAAGUAAAUAAAAUCUUAAAACAACAACAACAACAACAAAAAAA